UCUAAGUACCCCGAGGAAAAGAAAUCAACCGAGAUUCCCCCAGUAGCGGCGAGCGAACGGGGAGGAGCCCAGAGCCUGAAUCAGUGUGUGUGUUAGUGGAAGCGUCUGGAAAGGCGUGCGAUACAGGGUGACAGCCCCGUACACAAAAAUGCACAUACUGUGAGCUCGAUGAGUAGGGCGGGACACGUGGUAUCCUGUCUGAAUAUGGGGGGACCAUCCUCCAAGGCUAAAUACUCCUGACUGACCGAUAGUGAACCAGUACCGUGAGGGAAAGGCGAAAAGAACCCCGGCGAGGGGAGUGAAAAAGAACCUGAAACCGUGUACGUACAAGCAGUGGGAGCCUCUUUAUGGGGUGACUGCGUACCUUUUGUAUAAUGGGUCAGCGACUUAUAUUCUGUAGCAAGGUUAACCGAAUAGGGGAGCCGAAGGGAAACCGAGUCUUAACUGGGCGUUAAGUUGCAGGGUAUAGACCCGAAACCCGGUGAUCUAGCCAUGGGCAGGUUGAAGGUUGGGUAACACUAACUGGAGGACCGAACCGACUAAUGUUGAAAAAUUAGCGGAUGACUUGUGGCUGGGGGUGAAAGGCCAAUCAAACCGGGAGAUAGCUGGUUCUCCCCGAAAGCUAUUUAGGUAGCGCCUCGUGAAUUCAUCUCCGGGGGUAGAGCACUGUUUCGGCAAGGGGGUCAUCCCGACUUACCAACCCGAUGCAAACUGCGAAUACCGGAGAAUGUUAUCACGGGAGACACACGGCGGGUGCUAACGUCCGUCGUGAAGAGGGAAACAACCCAGACCGCCAGCUAAGGUCCCAAAGUCAUGGUUAAGUGGGAAACGAUGUGGGAAGGCCCAGACAGCCAGGAUGUUGGCUUAGAAGCAGCCAUCAUUUAAAGAAAGCGUAAUAGCUCACUGGUCGAGUCGGCCUGCGCGGAAGAUGUAACGGGGCUAAACCAUGCACCGAAGCUGCGGCAGCGACACUAUGUGUUGUUGGGUAGGGGAGCGUUCUGUAAGCCUGCGAAGGUGGCCUGUGAGGGUUGCUGGAGGUAUCAGAAGUGCGAAUGCUGACAUAAGUAACGAUAAAGCGGGUGAAAAGCCCGCUCGCCGGAAGACCAAGGGUUCCUGUCCAACGUUAAUCGGGGCAGGGUGAGUCGACCCCUAAGGCGAGGCCGAAAGGCGUAGUCGAUGGGAAACAGGUUAAUAUUCCUGUACUUGGUGUUACUGCGAAGGGGGGACGGAGAAGGCUAUGUUGGCCGGGCGACGGUUGUCCCGGUUUAAGCGUGUAGGCUGGUUUUCCAGGCAAAUCCGGAAAAUCAAGGCUGAGGCGUGAUGACGAGGCACUACGGUGCUGAAGCAACAAAUGCCCUGCUUCCAGGAAAAGCCUCUAAGCAUCAGGUAACAUCAAAUCGUACCCCAAACCGACACAGGUGGUCAGGUAGAGAAUACCAAGGCGCUUGAGAGAACUCGGGUGAAGGAACUAGGCAAAAUGGUGCCGUAACU
rnacentral:rRNA from 1 species